ACUGACCACAAAAUAUAAACACACACACACAGUGCACGCAUUUUACGCACAGGAGAAAGAACUCGUGAAGCUUCAAAUUCUUUUCUUCUGUCAAAUCAUUUUCCGUUAGGCUUCAAAUUCCUUUCUCCAAUGGCCUCCUCAAUUUCAACCCAUAGCCUAUUGGUAGUUCGUUCAUCUCGUUCGUCGUCGUAUCCACCUUCUCCCCCAAUAUUUUCCCUCGAAAAUUCAAAGAGAAAGUGUAAUAAUCACACCAAAUUCCCAACUGGGGUUAGAAAAAUAAACAGAAAAUGCAGAGCUAUGGUGCAGCAAACUGUACAAGGCCCCUCCGCCGCGUACGCCAAAGAAAUGGAAAGACUCUCCGCUAAGGAAUCUCUUCUUCUCGCUUUCAAAGAUGCCGGAGGAUUCGAGGGUUUGAUCACUGGAAAAACAACAGAUAUGCAGCAAAUUGACGUGAACGAGAGAAUAGUCGGCCUUGAGAAGCUGAAUCCAACUCCUCGACCAACAACGUCUCCUUAUCUAGAAGGUCGUUGGAAUUUCGAGUGGUUCGGUUCUGGAAGCCCCGGAUUAGCUGCUGCUAAAUUUUUGUUCGAGAGGUUUCCUCUUGCAAUUGCAAAUUUAUCGAAACUGGAUGUGGUGAUCAAGGAUGGAUACGCAAAGAUAUCCGCAAGUGUGAAAUUGUUCAAUUCGAUAGAAAGCAGUUUUAUUGUGUCGACGAAGCUAUCUGUGGAGGGCCCACUUCGUAUGAAAGAGGAAUACAUCGAAGGAUUAUUCGAAUCCCCGAAAGUCAACGAGGAAUCGAUACCUGAACAGCUGAGAGGUACUUUUGGUCAAGCUGUUAGUACAAUGCAGCAGCUCCCCGUUCCGAUUAAGGACGCAGUGGCCGGUGGACUUAAGGUUCCUCUCGGUGGGUCCGUAUCGAGGCUGUUUAUGAUUUCUUAUCUCGACGAAGAGAUCCUAAUUAUAAGAGAUAGUUCUGGAGUACCUGAAGUUCUUACAAGAUUAGAUCCAGGACCAUCACCACUUGCAGAACCAAUCACCGAAUACGAAAGUUGAAUACCGAAGAAAAACAAACGGUAAAAAAUAAAGUACGAAACAACGAAGCUCCCGACUUAUAUUGCCUGAAGAGCAAACCGAGGAGUGGUUGAUGCAAGUAGUAAAGGGUUGUUUUCGAAGUUGGUUUCGAAGGCUUUCUCUUUUCAAAUCUCUUUGUUCACAUUUGUUUCUGCAUAUUUAAGUGAAAAAAAAAACAAGAAAAAAGAAAACCGAAAUUCGAAACAUUAUUUAUUGACUAGAUUGCAUUUUCCUUCUACUAUAGUUAAUAUAUUUGAAGUUCAGACUCUGUUGAAUGUGAACACGAAAAAACGCUACUAGAAUGAAACGUGUUUUACUUCAUUUGA